rnacentral:rRNA from 1 species
GUGUGAAUUUCCUCUUUGUAUUUAUUAGAUUAACAAAACCAUUAUGCGGCAUUCCAAACUGCGGGCAACCGUGGGCCGCAUCAAAUCUAUUGAUAUGGUGAAUCAUGAUAACUGAUCGAAUCGAGUGGCUUCGGCCGUCGAUGUUUCAUUCAAAUUUCUGACCUAUCAGCUUUCGUCGGUAGUGUAGUGGACUACCGAGGCUUUAACGGGUACGGGGAAUUAGAGUUUGGUUCCGGAGAGGCCGCCUGAGAAACGGCGACCAUUGCCAAGGAAGGCAGCAGGUGCGCAAAUUACCCAAUCCUAAAUCAGGGAGGUAGUGACAAAAAAUAACAAUACUGGACUUGAUAAAAGUCUAGUAAUUGCAAUGAGUACAAUUUAAACCCAUUAACGAGUAGCGAAUGGAGGGCAAGUCUGGUGCCAGCAGCCGCGGUAAUUCCAGCCCCAUGAGUGUAUAUUAGAUUUGUUGUAGUUAAAAAGCUCGUAGUCGGAAAUAAGGAUAUUUUGAUAAUGAAAGCGGAUCUCAUUGCGGCAAAUGUCGCUCUGAGGUCACUCUCAAUUUCGAUAUUCUUUUAAUGAGGAAUUAGGACGAGCUUGCUCGGCUUAUUUCCUCCUUUUACUUUGAAAAAAUUAGAGUGUUCAAAGCAAGGAGUUUUCAAUUAAGAAAGCAUCUUUAACCUUUUGAAUAGUCCAGCAUGGGAUAAUGAAACAAGACCUUUUUUUGAUUUUAUUGGUUCUGCAGAGUUUUAUUGGUAAUGAUUAAGAGGGACAGUUGGGGAUAUUUGUAUUUCACAGCUAGAGGUGAAAUUCUUGGAUUUGUGAAAGACAAGCUUCUGCGAAAGCAUUUAUCAAGGAUGUUUUCAUUGAUCAAGAACGAAAGUUUGGGGAUCGAAGAUGAUUAGACACCGUUGUAGUCCAAACUAUAAACUAUGCCAGCCCUGGAUGUGCCGACGUCAUAUAAACGUUGGUCAACGUUGCCCGGCAACGGGUGACGUUCUACCAGCUUCACGACUCGGUGCGCACAGUAUGAGAAAUUACAAGCGUUUGGGUUCUAGGGGGAGUAUGAUCGCAAGAUUGGAACUUAAAGGAAUUGACGGAAGGCCACCACAAGUUGUGGAACGUGCGGCUUAAUUCGACGCAACACGGUGAAACUUGCCAGGUCAGAACAAAGGAAGGAUUGACAGAUUGAGAGCUCUUUCAUGAUUCUUUGGCUAGUGGUGCAUGGCCGCUCUUAGUUGGUGGUUUGAAUUGUCUGGUUAAUUCCGAUAACGAACGAGACCGUAACUUGCUAAAUAGUUGAACAAAUUUUCGAAAAUCUUCGUUGAGAUUGAGGUGCGAUCUCAA